rnacentral:lncRNA from 1 species
GCCAGGAGCGCACCCCAGACCCGGAGCCGUGGUCCGCGGGGGGCCCUGUGCCUUCCUGGCUCCUCCAGGUCCCGCGGGGGACUGGACGUGGCCCGAGCGCCCACCUCCCGGGCUGGAGCCUCACCUGCGGCCCCCGCUUGUCCUCUUCCAGAAACUCCGCCAGGAGACCCGGCGCGUGGACAAAUGGAUAAAAAUGCUCAAGCGAUGGGACCACUACCUCCCCAGCGAGAAGCUGUGACGCCAGAUCUACAAGGGGGUCCCGCCCCAGGUGCGGGGACAGGUGUGGCUGCGAUUGCUGAACGUCGACCAGGUUAAGGCCAGGAAUGCCAGGAAAAUACCAGGAAAUGAAGGAGGCGGCCCUGGUCUCCUCCCGGGACAUCAUGCAGAUCGACCUGGACGUCAACCGCAUGUUCCGCAGUCACACCAUGUUCUGGGACCGCUACGGGGUCGGGCAGCGACCCUGUUCCACCUGCUGGAGGCCUACUCAGUGUACGACACCGUGAGUGUCCCUGCCCCCGCCUCCUGCCCCGCGGGCGGCCUUGUCCUGAGUGCUGGUGACCAGCGGGACUCACAGUCGGGGC